GACGAACGCUGGCGGCGUGCUUAACACAUGCAAGUCGAACGGAGUGGCGAACGGGUGAGUAACACGUGGGUGAUCUGCCUUGCACAUCGGGAUAAGCUCGGGAAACUGGGGCUAAUCCCGGAUAGUGCAAGAUGAGGUCGCGGCCUAUCAGCUAGUUGGGCGAGUAAGGGAGUACCAAGGCGUCGACGGGUAGCCGGCCUGAGAGGGUGUACGGAAGCAUUGGUACUGAGAGACGGAGCAGAAUCCUACGGGAGGCAGCAGUGGAGAAUAUUGCACAAUGGGCGGAAGGCUGAUGCAGCGAGGCCGGGUGGGGGAUGAAGGCCUUCGGGUUGAAAACACCUUUCGAAAGGAACGCGGUACCUAUAUAGAAAGCACCGGCUAACUACGUGCCAGCAGCCGCGGUAAUAC
rnacentral:rRNA from 1 species